AACGCGAAGAACCUUACCUGGGCUCGAAGCGCAGUGGACCGGGGUAGAAAUAUCCCUUUCUCGCAAGAGACUGCUGCGGAGGUGCUGCAUGGCUGUCGUCAGCUCGUGCCGUGAGGUGUUGGGUUAAGUCCCGCAACGAGCGCAACCCUUGUCUUUAGUUGCCACCGGGUGAUGCCGAGCACUCUAAAGAGACUGCCUACGCAAGUAGUGAGGAAGGUGGGGAUGACGUCAAGUCCGCAUGGCCCUUACGCCUAGGGCCACACACGUGCUACAAUGGCCACUACAAAGGGCUGCAAAACCGCGAGGUCGAGCCAAUCCCUAAAAAGUGGUCUCAGUUCGGAUCGGAGUCUGAAACUCGACUCCGUGAAGCUGGAAUUGCUAGUAAUCGUGGAUCAGCACGCCACGGUGAAUACGUUCCCGGGCCUUGUACACACCGAUAGC
rnacentral:rRNA from 1 species